AGCUUGAGGGUUCUGCGCAGUAUCCUUGCUGUUCCCAGGACUGCACUUUUCUGGACUGAAAUGUCAGAUGUUUUUCCAGGGAUCUGUUGUAGCCACUCCUCCAGUUUGGGGGUCACUGCCCCCAGUGCUCCGAUCACCACAGGCACCACUGUGGCCUUCACCUUCCAAGCCUUCUCCAGUUCUUCUCUGAGCCCUUGGUAUUUCUCUAGCCUUCUAAACUCAUUGGCUAUGGAGAACCGAAACUGCCAUAAUCAAAUAUAAAGGAAAAAAGAAAUAAAUGUACUAAUUUUUAAAUUAUGAAUAUACAAAUAUAGAAAACAAAUUUAUAUAAAUGCUUAUAUUUCCAGUAAAACAAUCAUUAAUGUUCACACUUAUUUAUUUUUAUUUUUUUUUUAAGAAAGAUUUAUGCAUUUAGCUUUUCCUUUUCUCAAGCCGUUUUUCUUUUUCGCAAAGUGUAGGCAAAUGAGCCGGGCGUGUCUUAAUUGUGUCACUGCACAGUCAUUGGUCAAUUUGUGAAGCGUUUCCUGAUCGAUUCCUCUCGUCUAGCCCCCGGGAUGAAUACUACAGCAAUGCAUCAUGGUCUAGCUAGCAUUAGCAACGGAUCUUCGGCAGAUAGAAAACAACUAAAGGCAUCUUGCGGACAAUUCAGAAAGUUUUACACCAGACGUCAUGGUGUUUUAAAUUGAUUUGAUUCGGGAAAACUUGUUCAGUUUAUCUGACAAUACGGGCAGAGAAAUACCCACGGAAGUGAGUAUUCCUGCAAGAGCUCAGAAACUGAGCAAUCUUCUGCCAUCAUGCAAACAAGCACGACUCUACAUCGUUAGCGCGAGUGGGUUCAUCUUCUUCUUGCUAUACUGGCAGUUUGUAAGCCAAGUUUGUGGUUUAUUACGGCCACCACCUGUUUGUUUGGUGCAUAACUGCGAGUCAGUCGGUCUUCGCCCUCCAGGGUGAUUCAAUUUUUUUCGGCUAAAGAGCGAAAACACGCCCCAUUAUUAGCAUAAGAGCAGUGAAAUAGAAAUAAAAAUAAAUGUGGAAAAAUAAAUGCAAAAUAAAUAUAUAUAUAAAUACAUACAUGCAUAUGCACAUAAAUAUGUAAAUAUGUAAAUGAAUCAUGUAAGAAAAUAAAUAUAUAUAUUUAUUUUGUACCUAUUUUUUUCUUUUUUUAUUUGUAUAUAUAUUUAUUUGUCUCUAUAUAAGUACAUUCAUUUCCUUUUUUCUUUAUAUUUGAUUAUGGCGGUUUCGGUUCUCAAUAAUUGGCUAACACACACUAAUAUGUGCCAAUACCUUCCAUUGCACAGUUGUGUACUUUCAAACCGACCCUUUCUCAAUCUCAAUGCCAAUGUAACCUUGAAGCACUGCCUCCCACCCUGCUAGCAAACACACAGAGGAGUUUCUUUGGGCCCUUCAACAGCAAAGGAGGUUUUGAAAUAAUAAGGGUGUUGCCCCUCUGGCUUCCUGGAAAAUGCCCAGUGAACCAAGAAAUCUGCAAAUCUGGAGACACAAAGUUCACUUACAAGACGGUGCACUGGAACUGGGCCGAGUGUCCCUCUGUGACCAGGAUGUCUUGAAUGGGGGAGAUGAGGGCGGGUGGCAAUACCUGAGCUACGGUUUCAACCACCUCAGGCUCUCUGUAGAUGGUGGCAUCCUCAGGGAAGACUUCCAGCAGCAACAGCGUGUGCUGGUCUUCAUCACGCAGGAACUUGCAGUUGUAGCUGGUGGACAGAGCUUGGGAGUCUUUGUACCAGAACACCUGAGGCUGAGGAAGGCCG